rnacentral:lncRNA from 1 species
AGCCGAUCAGCGGGCAGAUCGUAUGGCUCUGAAGCCGAUCAGAGAGGAACUCGUUCUUGUUAUCUGAGUGGAGGUUUUAUCGGGUUUUGCCCGCUUCCUGUUGAACGAAGUUAUGUUGGGUUCGCUGCUGGUGAUAUCGCUGCCGGGGCGGUUUUAGUGUAAUCACGAUGUAAGCAGCGAAGGACAGCAGGAGUCUGGAUUAAGGAACGGAUUAAACGCAACAAUUACCGAUACUUAUAGACCAUGCUUGAAAGACAAAAACGACUAGUAUAGAAGAUACUGCUGACCAUUUAAGGCAAUUGACUAUCAAUACGAGACUUGUCGAGACGGCGAACGAAAUUUGGUGAUUGUUCCGAGUAGCAAAUAUUUAUCACCGAGUCUGUGCCACUAUUUUGGCAAUAACACGGACAUUUAUGGCAUAGUAAAGAAAUUUAAUCCGUGUUCGUACACGGGCGUGCGACGGCCAUAAACUCCGCCAUAUUACUAACUCCGCCAUUCAUAACCCGCGCGCUGGAUGCUUCCAUAUGCCACGAACUAACCCCUGAUCCGUAGUGAACUAUUAGUCCAGGUGGAAUCACCCCCUAACAACAUACGUCUUCACGAGUGUUACGAAGUGUUACGGUAGGAGGAACGCAGCCGUCCGCCCGCGGGCGUACGGGAUAUACCCGCAGAAAGCAUCCGAAACGCUUUUGUAAUACUUUUCGCAUUUCAUUGAAGGUACAAGAGUUGCACAUUCAAUUUUCCACGUUUUUGGGCAAUCAUCUACCACAGUCUUUGCCAACUUCCACCGCCGCACCGAUCGAGAGAACGUGCUUUGGAGCUUAUCGCAACCAGGUAAGUAAGAAAUCCCCAUAGCGCAAAAAUCAUGGGUCAAGUAACGCG